rnacentral:rRNA from 1 species
ACCUACGGGGGGCAGCAGUGGGGAAUAUUGCACAAUGGGGGAAACCCUGAUGCAGCGACGCCGCGUGAGUGAAGAAGUAUUUCGGUAUGUAAAGCUCUAUCAGCAGGGAAGAAAAUGACGGUACCUGACUAAGAAGCCCCGGCUAACUACGUGCCAGCAGCCGCGGUAAUACGUAGGGGGCAAGCGUUAUCCGGAUUUACUGGGUGUAAAGGGAGCGUAGGUGGCAUGGUAAGACAGAAGUGAAAAACAGGGGCUCAACCCCGAGGAUCGCUUUUGGAAC